rnacentral:rRNA from 1 species
CAUGAGGAAAGCUUGCUUUCCUUGAUGACGACUGGCGCACGGGUGAGUAACGCGUAUCCAACCUUCCCAUAACUACGGGAUAACCCGUUGAAAGACGGCCUAAUACCGUAUGAUAUCGUUUGCUGACAUCAAAUAACGAUUAAAGGUUUAGCGGUUAUGGAUGGGGAUGCGUCUGAUUAGCUUGUUGGCGGGGUAACGGCCCACCAAGGCGACGAUCAGUAGGGGUUCUGAGAGGAAGGUCCCCCACAUUGGAACUGAGACACGGUCCAAACUCCUACGGGAGGCAGCAGUGAGGAAUAUUGGUCAAUGGGCGAGAGCCUGAACCAGCCAAGUAGCGUGCAGGACGACGGCCCUAUGGGUUGUAAACUGCUUUUAUGUGGGGAUAAAGUGCGUGACGUGUCAUGCAUUGCAGGUACCACAUGAAUAAGGACCGGCUAAUUCCGUGCCAGCAGCCGCGGUAAUACGGAAGGUCCGGGCGUUAUCCGGAUUUAUUGGGUUUAAAGGGAGCGUAGGCUGUCUAUUAAGCGUGUUGUGAAAUUUACCGGCUCAACCGGUGGCUUGCAGCGCGAACUGGUCGACUUGAGUAUGCAGGAAGUAGGCGGAAUUCAUGGUGUAGCGGUGAAAUGCUUAGAUAUCAUGACGAACUCCGAUUGCGCAGGCAGCUUACUGUAGCAUAACUGACGCUGAUGCUCGAAAGUGCGGGUAUCAAACAGGAUUAGAUACCCUGGUAGUCCGCACGGUAAACGAUGGAUGCUCGCUAUUCGUCCUUUUUUGGAUGAGUGGCCAAGUGAAAACAUUAAGCAU